GGAUUAGAUACCCUGGUAGUCCACGCCCUAAACGAUGAGAACUAGACGUUGGGGGAGUUCAUUCCCUUAGUGUCGAAGCUAACGCGUUAAGUUCUCCGCCUGGGGAGUACGGCCGCAAGGUUGAAACUCAAAGGAAUUGACGGGGGCCCGCACAAGCGGUGGAGCAUGUGGUUUAAUUCGAUGCAACGCGAAGAACCUUACCAGCUCUUGACAUCCUCAGAACUUGUUAGAGAUAACUUGGUGCCUUCGGGAACUGAGUGACAGGUGCUGCAUGGCUGUCGUCAGCUCGUGCCG
rnacentral:rRNA from 1 species